rnacentral:rRNA from 1 species
CCUACGGGAGGCAGCAGUGAGGAAUAUUGGUCAAUGACGAGAGUCUGAACCAGCCAAAGAGCGUGAAGGAUGACUGGCCCAUUGGUUGUAACCUUCUUUUAUACGGGAAAUAAAAAGGGUAAGCAUACCCUCUUGUAUGUACCAUAUUAAUAAGGAUCGGCUAACAACGUGCCAGCAGCCGCCGGAAUACGGAGGAUUCGAGCGUUAUACGGAUUUUUUGGGUUUAAGGGGUGCGUAGGUGGAUUGUUAAGUUAGUUGGGAAAGUUUGCGGAGCACACGUAAAAUUGCAGUUGAAAAUGGCAGUCGUGAGUACAGUAGAGGUGGGGGGAAUUCGUGGGGUAGCGGUGAAAUGCUUAGAUAUCACGAAGAACUCCGAUUGCGAAGGCAGCUCACUGGACUGCAACUGACAUUGAUGCUCGAAAGUGUGGGUAUCAAACAGGAUUAGAUACCCCGGUAGUC